rnacentral:rRNA from 1 species
UACGAAGGGUGCAAGCGUUAAUCGGAAUUACUGGGCGUAAAGCGUGCGUAGAUGGUUCACUCAGUCGGAUGUGAAAGCCCCGGGCUCAACCUGGGAACUGCAUCCGAUACUGGUGGACUAGAGUGCGGUAGAGGAUGGCGGAAUUCCCGGUGUAGCGGUGAAAUGCGUAGAGAUCGGGAGGAACAUCCGUGGCGAAGGCGGCCAUCUGGACCAGCACUGACGUUGAGGCACGAAAGCGUGGGGAGCAAAC